GCGGAAACUCGGUGAGAAGGAGCUUGAAUAUUUGUCAAGUAAAUCUACGGUUACAUGAAACAAUGAGAAAUCUCUAUUAUGCCUUCCAUUUAAUGCUUCUCUCCCACCUCUUCUCUUUCUUCUAACGUUAGGGUAUAACCAAAUAGCCAAUGAUUUCCAAACAACCCUUAACCGACCAGAACAACUCCGACGAAGAUCUUUAUAGCCGCCUAAAGUGUCUUCAACGUUAGCUUGAUCAUCGACAUACAAGAAGAGUAUGUCCAAGAGGAGCAAAAGAAUUCUAAGCGCGAGCUCCUCCACACGCAGGAAGAGCGAAGAAAGAGACAGCGAAGAAAGAGAUAGAAACCAACAACCUCAUACUUUUCCCUCGUACUUUUCUCACUCACUCACUCACUCUCUCUCUCUCUCUCUCUCUCUCUAUCUCUAGUGUCCACAGAGCUUGCAUCACCAGUUUUGUGAUUCUGCUGUGCUGCGGUUUAGGUGGCCAUGUAAACUAGUGAUCUCAAGCUAUUUCCAGCUAAAGAUCACCACCUCCGUCGAUUGAGCACACCAAUAGGAUCGGCACAAUGCAAGAAACAGUAAUAUGGCCUCCAUUAUCGCAAAUUAAGAUCGCCAUCUCAAAUGGUCAUAGAGACAGUUGCAUUCCUGCGAGAUUUGCUCCACCUCCGGCGAGAGCGAGGAUCAAGACAUGUAGUUAAAUGAUUCAAUCCUUCUUUUUAUCAUAUUUUCCUUCCAUCAAUUCUGAGUUUUAAGGAUAAAUUGCACAUGCUUGAAAUUUAAAAUUUUUGGGUUUGAGAUUUGAGAAUUUUGUGUAUAGCUUGAAUUGGUACUCAAAUGAUAAAAUUGAUGGUGAAAUAAAACCCUCAUGAGAUUCUGAA